rnacentral:rRNA from 1 species
UACGUAGGCAGCAAGCGUUGUUCGGAGUUACUGGGCGUAAAGGGUGCGUAGGCGGCUUUUUAAGUUUGGUGUGAAAUCUCCCGGCUCAACUGGGAGGGUGCGCCGAAUACUGAGAGGCUAGAGUGCGGGAGAGGAAAGUGGAAUUCCUGGUGUAGCGGUGAAAUGCGUAGAUAUCAGGAGGAACACCGGUGGUGUAAACGGCUUUCUGGACCGUAACUGACGCUGAGGCACGAAAGCGUGGGGAGCAAACGGG